GCCGCACAUGCGUGAGCAUGUGCUUUAAUUCGACGCAACGCGAAGAACCUUACCUGGUGUGACAUCCUGUGAAUAUCCGUACUUGGAAUAGUGCCUUCGCGAGCACAGUGACAGGUGCUGCAUGGCUGUCGUCAGCUCGUGUCGUGAGAUGCAUCAUUAAGUCCAGCAACGAGCGCAACCCUUAUCUGUAGUUGCCAGCGCGUAAUGGCGGGAACUCUAGAGAGACUGCCCGGGUUAACCGGGAGGAAGGCGGGCAUGACGUCACGUCCUCAUGGCCCUUAUAUCCAGGGCUACACACGUGCUACAAUGGUAAAUACAGAGUGCAGCGAGCCGGUGACGGCGAGCGAAUCCCUAAAGUUUAUCUCAGUCCGGAUUGGAGUCUGCAACUCGACACCAUGAAGUUCGAAUCGCUAGUAAUCGCGGAUCAGCAUGCCGCGGUGAAUAUGUUCCCGGCCUUGUACACACCGCCCGUCACACCAU
rnacentral:rRNA from 1 species